UACCCGCAGCACAAGUGGUGGUCAUUAUUAUUGGGCCUAAAGCGUCCGUAGCUGGCGUGUUAGAUGCCUGGGUAAAUCGAUGCGCUUAACGCAUCGAACUCCGGGUAGACCGGCACGCUCGAGACCGGGAGAGGCAUGGGCUACUCGCGGGGUAGGGGUAAAAUCCUGUAAUCCUGCGGGGAGGACCAGUGGCGAAGGCGCCAUGCUAGAACGGCUCUGACAGUGAGGGACGAAGCCCUGGGGCGCAAACCGG
rnacentral:rRNA from 1 species